rnacentral:lncRNA from 1 species
AGGGGUUUCUGAUCUUCCUCAUUUAUGGGAUUUGUAAUCGAGAGGUGAGGUAGCUGUGCUCAUGGGAUUAAUAUGUUAUCACUUAACCGCAAUACUGUAAAAUAUUUUCGAACUUUUAUGUAUAAUAAUAUCGACUUCAUCUUGAGGAUAUUUCUUCUAUUUAGCCUUUUAAAGUGUUGGUUUUCUACAUUUUUUCCUACUUUCUAUUUCUUCAAUUUAUUUAUCUCUAUUUCAUGUUUCUACUUUUUCUUUGGUUUUUCAUUCUCACUUUGUUUGUGCUAUUGGUUGUGCAGAUAUUUUAAAAACAUUUUUCUUUCUUGUAGUCAUUUCGUAGUAGUUAUUUAUUACACAAUGUAUCAAAUUCUGGUGAGGGAGGAAAACCGGACGAUCCGGUGUCGGCAAUACAUAUAAGGAUUGUCUGACUGGAAUAGCACUAGAUUUCGUAUAAGCCUCACAUAUACAAAGCAUUUCUUGUGUAGAUUCGAAACGCUGUAAGUCGCCGAAUGGGAAUGGAUGUGAAUCCCACAACUUCAACUACAUAGAAUAGGUAACACAGCUCCUAUACUACUUCGGCUUUAUCAUGUGUAUUAGAGUAUUGAAAUCAUGUUGUUCCAGUAAAGUCGGAAGCUACUCUUCAAUAUGAAUAUGAAUUUAACUUAAUUUACUUUACUUUACUUUACUUUACUUUACUUUACUUUACUUUACUUUACUUUACUUUACUUUACUUUACUUUUUCACUCUCAAAGUUCCGGAUACGACGUCAUCAUUUGGGGAAUUGCAAAUUAGUUUUCUCUUCUUUUCGGCACCUAAAAUUCCACAAAGGAAAUCAUAUCCGGCAGCUUCGAGAGCCAAUGUUUUUUUUACCAUAAAGUACAUUACAUUUCUUCUUAGAAUAAUCCAAAUAUUUUGUAGGCUAAAAAUCAUUUUUGAGGUAGUAUAGCAAUUUAGGUGGUUUUUUGUAGAUGGAAAUUUUGAGAGAAAAUUAUGUACAUUUUUAGAGCAGUGAAAUUGCAGCCAUAAGCCUUGUUAUACAAGAAUUAGUGGUUAAUUAAUGCUCGGCAAAUUGACUCUGUAACUCAGUUGCAUGUCGGAGCGCAGCACCUGCAUUCGUGAAUCGCUGAACAGCAGGUUCACAGCUACUUCAGGUCAGGUCUAAAAAUGUGCAUAAUUUUCACUUCAAAGUUCCAUCUACAAAAAAACCUUCAACAAUCAGUUCUAUAUCGAAUCUAUUAAUUUUAAUAAAAAUCUGUUUAUACAUAAUCAGGGUUCCCAUUGGAGUUACCACCAUUUGAUCAAUCUAUAACGAUCGAAUAUAUUCAAGAUGGCUAUUAAUCUCGCAUAUAGGAUUAGUUUGUUUGUCUACAAGCGUACAUACAACCGUUUUUAACAUAAAUCUUUUUUUUUCAUAAAAGUUUGAACAAUUAAUAUGGUAACUGUUUUACUAAAAGACGUAUUUAAUACUGUUCUUAUAGGCAAUGGAAUCCGACAUUAGCUGAUAAGUAUUUUCUGUGCUGUUCUUGAAAUUGCACCCCUAUAAAAUUAACGAAGAAUAAUGGAAUGUCAAACAUUUAAAUGCCAUAAAACUAUAGAUAUUCAAUUAUUCUAAUUUUAAUUUCAUUGUAAAUAAAUUCAAUUUAAUAUAAACAUAACUAUAAUAUUUAAAGUCUGAAAAUGAGAAUUUCGAUUAAAUUUCAAAAUCCUUUCAGUUUUAUCCAUGAAGCAGACUGCGAGAACUUGAAAUAGGUUUUCAAAUGAUUUAUUAUAUUUA